rnacentral:tRNA from 1 species
AGCCUAUUAGCUCAACUGGUCGAGCACUGUGUAUUUAAAUUGCACAGGAGAUGUAGGUUCAACUCCUACAUAGGCUA